GCUAGCAUGGUAUAGUGGUUUGAGCACUGGACUACGACUUUGGACACCAGGGUUCAAAUCCCCGCUCCAACG